rnacentral:piRNA from 1 species
UAGAAGAAUAGGUACCCGUUUCCCACAGA